rnacentral:rRNA from 1 species
CACGAACGCUGGCGGCAGGCUUAACACAUGCAAGUCGAGUGCCCCGCAAGGGGAGCGGCAGACGGGUGAGUAACGCGUGGGAAUCUACCCAUCUCUACGGAAUAACGCAUGGAAACGUGUGCUAAUACCGUAUACGUCCUUCGGGAGAAAGAUUUAUCGGAGAUGGAUGAGCCCGCGUUGGAUUAGCUAGUUGGUGGGGUAAAGGCCUACCAAGGCGACGAUCCAUAGCUGGUCUGAGAGGGUGAUCAGCCACACUGGGACUGAGACACGGCCCAGACUCCUACGGGAGGCAGCAGUGGGGAGUAUUGGACAAUGGGCGCAAGCCUGAUCCAGCCAUGCCGCGUGAGUGAUGAAGGCCCUAGGGUUGUAAAGCUCUUUCACCGGUGAAGAUAAUGACGGUAACCGGAGAAGAAGCCCCGGCUAACUUCGUGCCAGCCGCCGCCGUAAAAC